GUGCUCACUUCAGCAGCAUAUAUACUAAAAUGGGAAUGAUACAGAGAAGAUUAGCAUGGUCUACACAAGGAUGGCAUGCAAAUUCGUGAAGCAUUCCAUAUUUUU
rnacentral:snRNA from 1 species